AAAUUAAUUUUUAGGGAAGUCUCUCGGUCAGUGCAUUCCUAACCAGCCUCCUGAAAGCUAGAACCUAGAGGGGUUUCAGAAGUAAUAUUAAAUUGAAGUUUU